rnacentral:misc_RNA from 1 species
GCGGCCAACCCUUGCCGUCUUACAUGGCGCCAAUCUCGGGUUUGCCCGCGACUACGCCGUCCGAGACAGCGACGAAAGACCUGCUCGCGCUCAAUACCGGCAUGUUCGAACUCUACGGAGACGCCGCCAAGGGUUUUCNNNNNNNNNNNNNCCCGUCAUCCUGGGUCUGUUUUCCGGCGCUGGUGGCCGAUUUAUCCUUUAUCGGCCUGGCAUGGCGCCGAUGGAUGCGCCGUCGGUCCCCAUUGUUUACCAACUCCUCAAGUCCGUCGGGCACAGCACGAUGGCUCUCGCACAAGUCGUGGGGCCAUAUCUGGAAAAUGCA